CAGGUGCAUGGGGCCUAUUUAUCUGAUAAGAGUGAAGAGGAAAAUCAGGACGAGAGUGAAGAAGAAACACAGCCAAACGCUCAGGGGCCUAGGCGAAGUAGCCGGCAAGUCAAAAAGCGAAGGGUCAUCUCAGACUCUGAGAGCGACAUUGGCGGCUCUGAUGUAGAAUUCAAGCCAGACAGUAAGCAAGAAGGCAGCAGUGACGAAGUGAGCAGUGGGGUUGGAGACAGCGAUAGCGAAGGCCUGGGCAGCUUUGGCAAAGGCGCUCCAAAGCGGAAGAGAACAGUGGCAGCUCAUGGUGGACUUAAAAGGAAAAGUCUGAAGAAGGAAACAGGCUCAGCCAAACAAGCAACUCGCAUUCUGUCAGAAACCAAGAGUACCUUGAGUGCUUUCUGUGCCCCGCAGAAUUCUGAGUCCCAAACCCAUG
rnacentral:lncRNA from 1 species